AAGGUUGGGACGGACCAGCUAAUUCAGCAGUCAUUGCUCGCCGCAUUGUAACAUUAGCCCGUGUAUUAGACGACGACCUAUCUACAGAUAGCCAAAUUCCAUCAGUUGAAGAUGCCUGGGCUACAGCUGAAGUUGAAGCUGAUCUUAGAAUAUCAAGAUCAUCUUGAAAGAAGGAAUCUCUUGAACUCUGACUUGGUGGAACUACAGAUCCAGGGCUUGAAGGUGGUGAAUCUAUGAUGCUUGAAUUUGGGCUUGAUGGUGAACUAGCUGAUGUCAAGAGCUAGCUUCAGAGGAGGAGGUCCUGACUGUCCAUUAUGGACAGUUCAGAGAAUAUAUAGACACCUGC